CCCUUAGAUGUUCUGGGCUGCACCCGUGCUACACUGGCAGGUUCAGCGAGCUUCAUGCCCUGAUCUGAAAGGAAUGGGAAAUCUUUUCAAAACCUGCCGUGCUUGGGAUAGAUGUUUGCAAUUAUUCAUCUUCAACGAGGAUUGCCUUGUAAGCGCACGUCACCAGCGUGCAUUGAAUACGACCCUGUAUUCUGUACACACCGCCCGUCGCUCCUACCGAUUGAAGUUUUCGGUGAGUUGACAGGAGGAUUUUUUUGAAACUGGUUCGCCAGUGGAUUUUAGAUCCAAAUGCCAACGAAUCGAUGGCUUUAGAGGAAGGAGAAGUCGUAACA
rnacentral:rRNA from 1 species